GACGAACGCUGGCGGCGUGCUUAACACAUGCAAGUCGAACGAAGAGCGAUAGAAGCUUGCUUCUAUCAAUCUUAGUGGCGAACGGGUGAGUAACGCGUAAUCAACCUGCCCUUCAGAGGGGGACAACAGUUGGAAACGACUGCUAAUACCGCAUACGAUCCAAUCUCGGCAUCGGGACUGGAUGAAAGGUGGCCUCUAUUUAUAAGCUAUCACUGAAGGAGGGGAUUGCGUCUGAUUAGCUAGUUGGAGGGGUAACGGCCCACCAAGGCGAUGAUCAGUAGCCGGUCUGAGAGGAUGAACGGCCACAUUGGGACUGAGACACGGCCCAGACUCCUACGGGAGGCAGCAGUGGGGAAUCUUCCGCAAUGGACGAAAGUCUGACGGAGCAACGCCGCGUGAGUGAUGACGGCCUUCGGGUUGUAAAGCUCUGUUAAUCGGGACGAAUGGUUCUUGUGCGAAUAGUGCGAGGAUUUGACGGUACCGGAAUAGAAAGCCACGGCUAACUACGUG
rnacentral:rRNA from 1 species